GCUCCCGCAGGCCUGGCGACGGUGUCUGCACCCGGAGCACCUGGAGCGACUCCUGACGUGCUUCCCGCCCUGGCAGCGCGACCACCGCUUGGGACAGAACACAUUGUCCGAGAGAGGCAAGUAAGGGUGCUUCACAAAAUACCUCCCUCAAACCCCCACCUCCCUCCACCCUUCCCGCCUCUGCUCUGCAGUUCUUGGGAAAGAAGCAACAAGCCGAAGGCGGGGUGAGGAGGGGGUUUUCUUCGAGAAAGAUGCGGGGCGCAGCUGUCUCUGUCUUCCCUCCUGGCCGUGGCCGUCCAAGUCUGGUAAAACCCCGAUCAGUGUCCGCGGUCCAAUCCUCCCCCACAGGGCCAGGGCCCGGGACUGGAGGAUGCCCAACUGGAGGUGAGUUGCGCGAGGCUGAGCCCGGGGCUGCUUCCGAGGGCCGGAGGAGGCGGCUCGGCACCCUGGCAGCUGAGCGCUCCUGCAGGGUGCCCUGAGUCGUGGGGGCGUUUCAUUCUCGCACCCACCAGCCCGGCGACAGCGAUAUUGGCUUGUCAGGCGGAGUCAGGCGUCCGCUGGGCGAUGGGCGCAGCACCAGCGGCUGGAGCGCGCGCUCUCCGGAACCAGUGUCCCCAAGCACACGCUACAGUGACCUGGCCUCCGCUCCGCUCACCCUUCGGAGUGCAGGUGUGGCACACCUGCUGCGUGCAGAAAAGCGGUGGGUUUCAGUGUUCCAGAUUUCCCUUCCCAGCCUUGACCGCCUUCAGGUCUGAGAGCCAGGAGUCCCGGGAUUCCGUCCGCCGACGCCUAGGCAAGCCAGUGCCGAAGGAGAAAACGUAGGAAGUGCCGGGACGGCACCGGGUAACUAUCCCAGCGCCAGGGGCUCUUUCUACCCGCCUCGAUUGCUGCAAAUAAUGACACUCUUUCGGGGAAGGGAAGGGAGAGGCGCUGGGGAUUCCGCCUCGGAGGGAGUUGGGUCUGCCGAAAAAGUAUUUCUGUUGCAGACACGUCCUUGUCUCGCCUUUACCGCCGGCAGCUGGAUGGUCCCUAGAGCCCCUGCACGAUGAAUCCGAGCCUCCAGCUUCAGCACCAGAGCCUGGACAGCGCCCGGGCCGCAGAGCUCCCAGAGUGGGUUUCCGCGCGCCACUCCGCUCCCCAGUCCGAGUGGGCUUGAGCUAGACGGCUCAGACCCCCCACGGCGGAGGCCAGGAGAUGAGGCUGGGUUCGCCGAGGCGGGGGGUGGGGGGCUCACCUUCCCCAUUUCUCCAGAGCUUAGGUGUCAGAUUCUAGGACGGUAUUCUAUCGCCCUUCGCUAAGACCAACUGGAAUAGAACUUGGCGCAAAGUGCGUGGAGGGCACCGAAGCGAAAAGAGGCGCAACUGGAAAUGGUGAAUGAAGGGAUGGCGGGGGACGAUUUGAGAUAUAGACGCCGAAGUAAGAAGCCUAUUUUAUCUGAGUCUGAAUAUCUAGAGCACCCAGAACAGGUUGGUAGACAUGUAGCUCUCUCAGCAAAUUGCCACGAGUGUCCCCUGCGUUUGAUUCUUCAAGAUUCUCUUCUAUUUUCUCUCCAGCUUGCCUUCAUGCUUUGCCCACGUGUUUAUUUGCAGUAUCUGUGGGAAAUCAUUUUACCCAUCGUUUUCCAAAGGCCGCUGUAACGGGCUCAGAAUGAUUGUAAAGGGACAUCUCUAGGACGAAUAAAAAACCUGGAUGGAUGGAGAUGAUGACCCUUCAGUUCCGUGUAAGAGCAGACACAUCACGUCCCAGGAAGGCUUGUGGCAGGUCCUGCCCCAUUCUGGAUGGAGAGAACAAACCGAAGGUUGGAGAGCUGGGCUACAGGAAAAGAGUUCUCAAUUAGAAGGAGAAAGAAUUAAAAGUGGCACCAAUAGGGAACGGUAAUAAUCCUUCAGCUGCUGCAGAAAUAAAAUCAGGGCGGCGCUCUCUGAGCCACCGGGAUAUUGUGGCUUUUGCCAAUUAAAGAGCAGAUACAUCCUGCUAGUGCAAUUAGAGGCUGGAAUAGGCAUGGGGGGCCUAGCCUUUCCUCCGUCAGUGCCCGGAGCUGGGCUGGGGCACUUUCCCGGGGAGCCCGGCACUGGACCUGGGGGGGAGGGGACCCCGGGGCUGAGAAGCCACCCUCCCCCUGCCCACAACCGGUACCCCUUUUCCUCUCUUUUCCCUACUGCUUGUCCAGCACCCUGACCCCCACUUCAUUCCGAGCUGUGGCUCAGUAAGCCCUGGUAGGAUUUUCACCACGGGCCUUGACGGUGGACUUGGAAUGCUUGGGGAGAGGGGUCACCAGUACCCGGAUUCUUUCCUUUUUCCUCACCUCCAAUCUCCGUGAUAAUACAAUGCUUCAUGAUUAA